rnacentral:rRNA from 1 species
UGGGGAAUAUUUCACAAUGGAGGGAACUCUGAUGCAGCGACGCCGCGUGAGUGAUGAAGGAAUUCGUUUCGUAAAACUCUGUUCUAUGGGAAGAAAAGGACUGUACCAUAGGAGAAAGCUCCGGCUAAAUACGUGCCAGCAGCCGCGGUAAUACGUAUGGAGCGAGCGUUGUCCGGAAUUAUUGGGCGUAAAGGGUGCGCAGGCGGCUUUACAAGUUGGAUGUGAAAUAUUGUGGCUCAACCACAAACGUGCAUCCAAAACUGCAAAGCUUGAGUUAAGGAGAGGUAAGUGGAAUUCCUGGUGUAGCGGUGGAAUGCGUAGAUAUCAGGAGGAAUACCGGUGGCGAAGGCGACUUACUGGACUUAAACUGACGCUCAGGCACGAAAGCGUGGGGAGCAAACAGG